rnacentral:rRNA from 1 species
AUGAAGCUCCUAUGCUAGAACAUUAGGGGCUUCGGCUGCCUGGGCCGCUGACACCAACUGAUUGACUACAUCCGGCAGGAAGAUAUCGACAUAGUAGGUCUUCAGGAGAUGAUUCGUCAUGACUUUUCCAUUCAGGAGUUAUAGGGGCUCUCUCGACACCCAUUUGCCUGGCAAUGGCUGCCGGCGUCUGGGUUGUCUGGAGGCAUACUCUUGGGGGUCAGGGAGGAUUUCUUUUUAGUGGAGGAUAUGGACCGCAGGGAAUUUUUCCUUAGUAUGUCCAUCACCGACCGACGUGUGAACCUCAGUUGGGAGGUGAUCAUUGUCUAUGGCCCGGUAGAUCACGGGCAGUCGACGGUGUUCCUGGCCGAGCUGCAUUAUAAGGUGGAAUGUUGCAUGCUCCCAGUGGUGGUGGCGGGUGACUUCAACCUUAUCAGACGUGAAGCGAACAAAAUCUCGCCCAACAUUGAUCGACGACGUAUGCGCAUGUUCAACGACUCCAUAGCUGAGAUGGCCCUACAUGAGAUAGCCCGGGUAGGGGCUAGGUUCACAUGGACAAAUAAACAGAUGGACCCUAUCCGGAGUGUGCUGGAUCAGGUCCUCGUGUCUAUGCAGUGGGAGAUUAUGUUCCCACUAUGUCCACUGCGGGCGAUCACAUGGAUCAGCUCCGACCACGUUCCACUCCUGUUUACAUCAGGGGAAGGGUCUCCACCGAGAUCUAGGCGCUCCCAUUUUGAACCAUCAUGGCUUCUGUAG